GACGAACGCUGGCGGCGUGCUUAACACAUUCAAGUCGAACGGAAAGGCCCUGCUUUUGUGGGGUGCUCGAGUGGCGAACGGGUGAGUAACACGUGAGUAACCUGCCCUUGACUUUGGGAUAACUUCAGGAAACUGGGGCUAAUACCGGAUCGGAGCUCCUGUUGCAUGGUGGGGGUGGGAAAGUUUCGGCGGUUGGGGAUGGACUCGCGGCUUAUCAGCUUGUUGGUGGGGUAGUGGCUUACCAAGGCUUUGACGGGUAGCCGGCCUGAGAGGGUGACCGGCCACAUUGGGACUGAGAUACGGCCCAGACUCCUACGGGAGGCAGCAGUGGGGAAUAUUGCACAAUGGGCGGAAGCCUGAUGCAGCAACGCCGCGUGCGGGAUGACGGCCUUCGGGUUGUAAACCGCUUUCGCCUGUGACGAAGCGUGAGUGACGGUAAUGGGUAAAGAAGCACCGGCUAACUACGUG
rnacentral:rRNA from 1 species